rnacentral:rRNA from 1 species
UACAGAGGAUGCAAGCGUUAUCCGGAAUGAUUGGGCGUAAAGCGUCCGCAGGUGGUUUUGUAAGUCUGCUGUUAAAGCGUUAGACUCAACCUAAUAAGGGCAGUGGAAACUAUGAGACUAGAGUAUGUUAGGGGUAGAGGGAAUUCCCAGUGUAGCGGUGAAAUGCGUAGAGAUUGGGAAGAACACCGGUGGCGAAAGCGCUCUGCUAGGACAAUACUGACACUGAGGGACGAAAGCUAGGGGAGCGAAUGGG